rnacentral:rRNA from 1 species
AUUGAACGCUGGCGGCAGGCCUAACACAUGCAAGUCGAACGAGUGGCGAACGGGUGAGUAAUAUAUAGGAACGUACCGAGUAAUGGGGGAUAACCAAUCGAAAGAUUGGCUAAUACCGCAUAUUAUUCGAGCGGCCGAUAACUGAUUAGCUAGUGGGUGGGGUAAAGGCCUACCAAAGCGACGAAAAGUAGCGGGUCUGGGAGGACGAUCAUCCACACGGGUACUGGUACACGGUCCAGACUCCUACGUGAGGCAGCAGUGGGGAAUUUUGGUCAAUGGGGGAAAGCCUGAUCCAGCCAUGCCGCGUGUAUGAAGAAGUCCUUCGGGUUGUAAAGUACUUUUGUUAGGGAAGCGGUACCUAAAGAAUAAGCACCGGCUAACUACGUGCCAGCCGCCGCGGUAAUUC